UGUUGUAUGUUACAUCAGGGACCGUGUUGGAAAAAAAGUGUUUCUCGCUUUUACAUGUUAUCCCUUUGAUCCCCUUGUUGUCUUUCUAUAUCCAUAAAUAAACCAAACCAAAAUAGUUGACCGGGAAAUAUGAUUGAAAAUGCAUUAAUAUAUAGUUGACCGGGAAAUAUGAUUGAAAAUGCAUUGAUAUAUAGUUGACCGGGAAAUAUGAUUGAAAAGCCAUUGAUUUUUGGUUGACCAGGAGAUCAUCGUGUGGUAGACCAACGUACUGCACCGGACACAUCUAAUUUCUGGACUCUUUGGGCGAAUACGAUCAGAGAGGAAAAUGCCAGGCGGAGAGGGAAUAAAAGAGAGAUCACCUGCCGGAGGGACUGAAGCAAGUAAAAAGAUGCUCUUACACAGCAGAUGGGGACAGCCGCCGUCAACCAAUUUACUUUUGCCCAGGCUGUGCAACAGUUACUGCUCUAUGAGUCAGACCGGGCAGGAUGGACUGGACGACAAACCAGUCAGACGUCAGAGGACCAUGAACUGUAACUAUGCUAAAGAGGACAAAUAAUGAAAUAAGAGGCUAAUAAAAUGAAUUUGUUUUUACCUUAAA